CACGUAGGGUGCGAGCGUUGUCCGGAAUUAUUGGGCGUAAAGAGCUCGUAGGCGGUGUGUCGCGUCGGCCGUGAAAACCUGCAGCUUAACUGUGGGCUUGCGGUCGAUACGGGCAUCACUGGAGUUCGGCAGGGGAGACUGGAAUUCCUGGUGUAGCGGUGAAAUGCGCAGAUAUCAGGAGGAACACCAGUGGCGAAGGCGGCUCACUGGCCCGUUACCGACGCUCAGGCGCGAUAGCGUGGGGAGCAAACAGG
rnacentral:rRNA from 1 species